rnacentral:rRNA from 1 species
UGGGGAAUUUUGGACAAUGGGCGAAAGCCUGAUCCAGCAAUGCCGCGUGUGUGAAGAAGGCCUUCGGGUUGUAAAGCACUUUUGUCCGGAAAGAAAUGGCUCUGGUUAAUACCUGGGGUCGAUGACGGUACCGGAAGAAUAAGGACCGGCUAACUACGUGCCAGCAGCCGCGGUAAUACGUAGGGUCCAAGCGUUAAUCGGAAUUACUGGGCGUAAAGCGUGCGCAGGCGGUUGUGCAAGACCGAUGUGAAAUCCCCGAGCUUAACUUGGGAAUUGCAUUGGUGACUGCACGGCUAGAGUGUGUCAGAGGGGGGUAGAAUUCCACGUGUAGCAGUGAAAUGCGUAGAGAUGUGGAGGAAUACCGAUGGCGAAGGCAGCCCCCUGGGAUAACACUGACGCUCAUGCACGAAAGCGUGGGGAGCAAACAGGAUUAGAUACCCUGGUAGUCCACGCCCUAAACGAUGUCAACUAGUUGUUGGGGAUUCAUUUCCUUAGUAACGUAGCUAACGCGUGAAGUUUGACCGCCUGGGGAGUACGGUCGCAAG